CAUUCUUCAAAAAUGGUAAUUGUGGCCUGGUCUGAAGACCAAAACUAAGUAUUGUUCCUUUAAAAAGAUAUUGUGAGCUCUACCUGCCUGCAGGGUAAUGGGCCUCAGGGUGCCCAGUCACCGGGCCCCUACAUUGCCCCAGGAAGCCAACAUAACUAGUCGACACCCGGUCUCCUGCAAUUCAGGAAAAGACAAAAAGUGACGCUCUCUACUGGCUUGGAGGCAAGUAUAUCCAGAAUUGAAUUCUAAUGCUCUGAAAAUGUUGACAGUGAAUCCCUAUCAGUCUCUUUCCAUGUUAUAUUGUACUUGUUGAAGAGACAGCCAUUGC